rnacentral:rRNA from 1 species
GACGAACGCUGGCGGCGUGCCUAAUACAUGCAAGUAGAACGCAGUUGCGAACGGGUGAGUAACACGUAGGUAACUGCCUCAUAGCGGGGGAUAACUAUUGGAAACGAUAGCUAAUACCGCAUUCUGGGAGAUGGACCUGCGUUGUAUUAGCUAGUUGGUGAGGUAAAGGGUCAACAAGGCGACGAUACAUAGCCGACCUGAGAGGGUGAUCGGCCACACUGGGACUGAGGCACGGCCCAAAACCCUAAGGGAGGGAGCAGGAGGGAAACGUCGGCAAUGGACGGAAGUCUGAACGCGGAACGGCGCGGGAGUGAAGAAGGUUUUCGGAUCGUAAAGCUCUGUUGUUAGAGAAGCGUUAACUACCCAGAAAGGGACGGCUAACUACGUGCCAGCAGCCGCGGUAAUUC